GAUGAACGCUAGCGGCAGGCCUAACACAUGCAAGUCGAGGGGUAGAACACUUCGGUGUUUGAGACCGGCGCACGGGUGCGUAACGCGUAUGCAAUCUACCUUGUACAGGGGAAUAGCCCAGAGAAAUUUGGAUUAAUGCCCCAUAGUAUAUAACCUUCGCAUGUUGGUUAUAUUAAAGUUCCAACGGGACAAGAUGAGAAUGCGCCCCAUUAGUUAGUUGGUAAGGUAACGGCUUACCAAGACGAUGAUGGGUAGGGGUCCUGAGAGGGAGAUCCCCCACACUGGCACUGAGACACGGACCAGACUCCUACGGGAGGCAGCAGUGAGGAAUAUUGGUCAAUGGGCGCAAGCCUGAACCAGCCAUGCCGCGUGCAGGAAGACGGUCCUAUGGAUUGUAAACUGCUUUUAUACAGGAAGAAACCCUCCCACGUGUGGGAGAUUGACGGUACUGUAGGAAUAAGGAUCGGCUAACUCCGUGCCAGCAGCCGCCGUAACAC
rnacentral:rRNA from 1 species